rnacentral:rRNA from 1 species
GACGAACGCUGGCGGCAGGCCUAACACAUGCAAGUCGAACGAGUGGCGGACGGGUGAGGAAUGUCUGGGAAACUGCCCGAUGGAGGGGGCUAACUGCAAGAUACGGUAGCUAAUACUGCAUCCCAGCGGAUGUCUCCAGAUGGGGUUAGCUAGUAGGUGGGGUAACGGCUCACCUAGCCGACGAUCCCUAGUUGGUGUGAGAGGAUGACCAGCCACACUGGAACUGAGACACGGUCCAGACUCCUACGGGAGGCAGCAGUGGGGAAUAUUGCACAAUGGGCGCAAGCCUGAUUCAGCCAUGCCGCGUGUAUGAAGAAGGCCUUCGGGUUGUAAAGUACUUUCAGCGAGGAGGCGUUACUCGCAGAAGAAGCACCGGCUAACUCCGUGCCAGCAGCCGCGGUAAUUC